UAGGGAAUCUUCCGCAAUGGGCGAAAGCCUGACGGAGCAACGCCGCGUGAGUGAUGAAGGUCUUCGGAUCGUAAAACUCUGUUAUUAGGGAAGAACAAAUGUGUAAGUAACUAUGCACGUCUUGACGGUACCUAAUCAGAAAGCCACGGCUAACUACGUGCCAGCAGCCGCGGCAAUACGUAGGUGGCAAGCGUUAUCCGGAAUUAUUGGGCGUAAAGCGCGCGUAGGCGGUUUUUUGAGUCUGAUGUGAAAGCCCACGGCUCAACCGUGGGGGGUCAUUGGAAACUGGAAAGCUUGAGUGCAGAAGAGGAAAGUGGAAUUCCAUGUGUAGCGGGGAAAUGCGCGGAGAUAUGGAGGAACACCAGUGGCGAAGGCGACUUUCUGGUCUGUAACUGACGCUGAUGUGCGAAAGCGUGGGGUUCAAAGAGG
rnacentral:rRNA from 1 species